rnacentral:rRNA from 1 species
AGUGAACGCUGGCGGUAGGCCUAACACAUGCAAGUCGAACGGCAGCACAGUAAGCUCUUUCUCUUACGGGUGGCGAGUGGCGGACGGGUGAGGAGUACAUCGGAAUCUACUUUUUCGUGGGUGAUAACGUAGGGCAACUUACGCUAAUACCGCAUACGACCUACGGGUGAAAUCAGAGGAUCUUCGGACCUUGCGCGACUGAAUGAGCCGAUGCCGGAUUAGCUAGUUGGCGAGGUAAAGGCCCACCAAGGCGACGAUGCGUAGCUGAUCUGAGAGGAUGAUCGGCCACACUGGAACUGAGACACGGUCCAGACUCCUACGGGAGGCAGCAGUAGGGAAUAUUGGACAAUGGGCGCAAGCCUGAUCCAGCCAUGCCGCGUGAGUGAAGAAGGCCUUCGGAUCGUAAAGCCCUUUUGUUAGGAAAGAACAGCAGCAUAUGAAAACGUGGAUGUCCUGACGGUACCCAAUCAGUAAGCACCGGCUAACUUCGUG